ensembl:lncRNA
AGUCAGUGCUGUAGUGCUUCUGUAGUAGAGUUAAAAUGGUUAUUCCAUCAAACUUCAAAUGAUUAGAAUAGUACACAACGCAGAACAGAACAACCAGGUUGAGGGUCAGUGGCCAAAGCCCGCAAACAGGAAUAUUCCAAGUUCAGACAGAAGUUUAGACAGUCAGAUCGCUAUGAUCGCCAGGAACUUUACUUUUGGUGUCUAUUUUUAAAUGUUGCGCUACUGGUGCUGCCUGCUGAUGUUAGAUAGGCAGCUACAGUAGCUGAAUGAUGUUAACAUCUUCGGGUUUUGUUUCAUUAAAUGUAUUUUAUUUCAUCUGGGUGCUUGCAUCACCUACUAACACCUGGUACUACCCGUAGCCCCCGUUCUCCUCAGUCCGAGAAAACACUGAGAAAGAACAACUUGUCAGAUGGUGCAUUGGAGACUGAUGUGUUCCUGUCCUCUUUUCACAAUACUAUUGCAGGUGCUACCAAUAAACAUACAAGGAGGGGGAGGAAAGACAAUCAGUGGCAGCUAAUAGGCCGGUGACGACGACCACCGAGCGCCACCCGACCAGGAAGGGAAGCCACCCUCGGUCGGACUCGUGACAGCCACAUUGUAACGAUUGUCAUCGGGAGAAUGAGAAGAGGACCAAAGUGUAGCGUGGGAGAAGAUUCAGGCCUGCACUCUCAAGAUUCAUCAAAGGAAUGUACUUUUCCCCACUGAACCUCUAACACAUUCAAAAUGAGUAGUUACCGCCCGGAGUGAAGUCAGAGAGCGUGCCAGCCUGCCGGAACCACCUCUAUUAUCGAUGGGUUAAGAAAAAAACACGAGACCAGAAAAGUGUGAAGCUGCAGCUGCACAUUUAAAGUGGUUUGAACUUUGAAUCUCAACACGAGGUGGACAUGAUAAACUCACCUCCCAGACAAUCACUGGUACAGCUGAUAAACUGUCCUCAGUAAAGCAUCUUCAAAAGCGAAUUUAAGUAGGACCAUCCGGUUACUCCGCUCAAAUCAAAUGUUUUUGGUCACAUACACACGGUUAGCAGAUGUUAAUGAGAGUGUAGCGAAAUGCUUGUGCUUCUAGUUCCGACAGUGCAGUAAUAUCUAACAAGUAAUCUAACAAAUUCACAACGACUACCUUAUACACACAAUGUAAGGGGAUGGAAAGAUAAUAUGUACAUAUAAAUGUAUGGAUGCGCGAUGGCCGUGCGACAUAGGCAAGAUGCAAUAGAUAUUGCAUCUUGUAUAAAAUACAAUAUAGGCAAGAUGCAAUAGAUAUUGCAUCUUGUAUAAAAUACAAUAUAUGCAAGAUGCAAUAGAUAUUGCAUCUUGUAUAAAAUACAAUAUAUGCAAGAUGCAAUAGAUAUUGCAUCUUGUAUAAAAUACAAUAUAUACAAGAUGCAAUAGAUAUUGCAUCUUGUAUAAAAUACAAUAUAUACAUAUCCUACAUUACUCAUCUCAUAUGUAAACAUUAAAAUGGCAUUAUGGCAUUAAAGUGAGUAGUGAUACCUUUAUUAAAUCCAUUUAUUAAAUGGCCAAUGAUUUGAGUCUGUAUGUUGGCAGCAGCCUUUCUAUGUUAGUGAUGACUGUUUAACAGUCUGAGGGUGGAAACAAACACUGACACGGAAAAUAAACACCCACGAAACACAAGUGGGAAAAGGCUACCUAAGUAUGAUUUUCAAUCAGAGACAACUAACGACACCUGCCUCUGAUUGAGAACCAUACCAGGCCAAACACAACAUAGAAAACGGAACAUAGACAACCCACCCAACUCACACCCUGACCAUACUAAAACGAAGACAUAACAAAGGAACUAAGGUCGGAACGUGACACCAAUUCACAAACUUAUCAAGACAACUACCCAGGUCAUCCCUACUGCCUCUGAUCUGGCAGACUCACGAAACACAUAUGCUUUGUUUGUAAAUUAUGUCUGAGUGUUGGAGUGUGCCGCUGGCUAUUCGUCAUUAAAAAUUUUAAAAAAUAUACAAUUGUGCCAUCUGGAUUGCUUAAUAGAAGGAAUUUGAAAUGGUUUAUACUUUUACUUUUGAUACUUAAGUAUAUUUUAGCAAUUCCAUUUACUUUUUACCCCCUUUUUCGUGGUAUCCAAUUGUUAGUAGUUACUGUCUUGUCUCUUCGCUACAACUCCCGUACGGGAUCGGGAGAGACAAAGGUCAAGAGCCAUGCGUCCUCUGAAACACAACCCAACCAAGCCGCACUGCUUCUUAACAUAGCGCGCAUUCAACCCUGAAGCCAGCCGCACCAAUGUGUCGGAGGAAACACCGUACACCUAGCGAUCUGGUCAGCGUGCACUGCGCCCAGCCCACCACAGGAGUCACUAGUGCGCGAUGAGACAAGGAUAUCCCUACCGGCCAAACCCUCCCUAACCCGGAUGAUGCUAGGCCAAUUGUGCGUCGCCCCAUGGAUCUCAAGGUCGCGGCCGGCUGCGACAGAGCCUGGGCUCGAACCCAGAGUCUCUGGUGGCACAGCACCAGACCAUUGCGCCACCCGGGAGGCCGCCAUUCCAUUUACUUUUGAUACUUAAGUAUAUUUAAAACCAAAUACUUUCAAACUUUUACUAAAGAAGUAUUAUACUGGGUGACUUCACUUGAGUCAUUUUCGAAAAGGUAUCUUUACUUUUACUCAAGUAUGACAAUUGAGUACUUUUUCCACCACUGGGCAGACGGCAGGUUGUAUCUAAUGAAGUCCGGGACAUCGUCGUUGACCAUGUGGUAAGAGGCUGACAGAUUAGUUCACACCAAUCUGAAAAGAUCAACUGUCAAUUCGAUCAUGAGAAAAUUUCGCCAAGAAAACUGGUAAGUCUGCAGGAUAUACAUUAUCAUUACAUUUACAGUAAAUUACAUAUUGUAAUGCAUGUAAAUUCACUAAACAUGUUAAAGUAUACUCUAUACUACCCUCAGAAUUGACAGGAGAACACAUGGUGGUGGCCGUGUGCUGACCGACCAGCAGGACUGGACAGUGGUGGAAAUGGUGAGGGCCAGGAAUGACAUACGGCUGUCCAAAAUAAAGUAGGCUAUUGAGGAGAACAAUGUCACCUUUGCCAAUGUGUGUUCCAUCAUGAAAUACAUUUACCUGUUGCCUUUUGAAAUAAUUAACAAUCGGGUAAAACAACUGUGGGUCAAGUAUGUUCAGGUACAGCACUAUACACUGUAUUAUUGUUAUUAUUUGAUGCACAUGCUACUUCACAAUAUCAUAUUGGAACUAUACUGUAAAAAUAACUAACUCCCCCAAAAAUGUAGAGGAUGAUGGCGCUUGAUGCUGCUGUGAACCAUCACAAGUAUAUCUUUGUUGAUGAAGUGGGCUUCAACCUGGCCAAAACUCGGCACCUUGGGCGGAUCCUCAUCGGCCAACGGGCGACUGUCCAAGUGCCUGUAAAACGUGGGGGAAACAUCUCUAUGCGCGCAGCCUUCUCUGAAGAUGGUGUGGUAGGCCAUUACUUGGACCAUACAAUGCUGCACACCUCAUUGUGUUUCUCAAUAAAAUUGAGCAGGCAGGCAAGGUGAAGGGGUCACCUAUGUCAUUGUGCUCGACAAUGUCAGGUUACACCAUGCUGAAUUGGUUCAGGCUGUUGGGCCCAUCCCCGAUUCAUGACCCUAUACCAGCCCGCAUACUCUCCUUUCCUCAAACCUAUUGAGUAUUUUGUUUUAGUAUGGAGGUGGAAGGUGUACGAUCGACAUCCCCGUGAGCAUGCCACCCUCCUUCUGGCCAUGGAUGAGACAUGCAACGAUAUUAAUGCAGACCAAUGUCAGGCUUGGAUUCGCCAUACAAGAAGGUUUUUCCCACGGUGCAUGAACAAUGACAUUCACUGUGAUAUGGAUGAGAAUUUAUGGCCAAAUGCUCACAGUCUUAAUGCAAAUUAAUGCGUGCUAAACGUUAUGUUUUAUUUUCAUUCAUUUGUUUCAUCAAAUUUCUUACAUUUGAUUACAUGCAGUACACCUAUGUUGCAAUUGUGCGUGAAUGAUUCUAGAGGAUGUCUAUGUUGAUCACAUAUUGGAUAGAUAUGGAAGGGAUAGAUUUUCUGUCAAUUUUGUUGGGUAAUGUACACUACCGUUCAAAGGUUUGGGGUCACUUAGAAAUGUCCUUUUUUUUUAAAGAAAAGCUAAUUUUUUCCCAUUAAAAUAACAUAUUGAUCCGAAAUACAGUGUAGACAUUUUUAAUGUUGUAAAUGAC